GAGGGUAUAGCUCAGUGGUAGAGCACAUGCUUAGCAUGCAUGAGGUACUGGGUUCAAACCCCAGCACCUUCA
rfam:Camelus ferus unplaced genomic scaffold scaffold929, whole genome shotgun sequence.